rnacentral:rRNA from 1 species
CAAUAGCGUAUAUUUAAGUUGUUGCAGUUAAAAAGCUCGUAGUUGGAUUUCGGGUGGGACGCAGCGGUCUCGCAUUGCGUUUGUACUGCUGCAGCCCUCCUUCUUGCCGGGGGCGGCCUCUCGGACUUCACUGUCUGGGGGUCAGAAUCGGCGAUGUUACUUUGAGUAAAUUAGAGUGUUCAAAGCAAGCUUACGCUCUGAAUAUAAUAGCAUGGGAUAACACGACAGGACUCUGGCCUAUCGUGUUGGUCUAUAGGACCAGAGUAAUGAUUAAGAGGGACAGUCGGGGGCAUUCGUAUUCCGUUGUCAGAGGUGAAAUUCUUGGAUUUGCGGAAGACGAACAUCUGCGAAAGCAUUUGCCAAGGAUGUUUNCAUUGA